GGUGAGAUGGCCGAGUUGGUCUAAGGCGUCACGUUAAGGCCGUGAUCUCUAUCGGAGGCGUGGGUUCAAAUCCCACUCUCAUCA
rfam:Absidia glauca strain CBS 101.48 genome assembly, contig: contig_9293